CCUUAUUGUUUUUACUGUAAAAAAAAAACCCCAACAACUUUUCUUUGCUUUAGAUUAAAUCUAAUUUCUUACAGUCUAAAUGUGUGACAUUGUGUACUUCGGUAUAGUCCUGUUUAAGAAUAGGUUUCAAGACAAUAAUUUGUAUUGGCCCCAAAUAUAUUUGUAUAAUGCCAUCAUAUCCCCUCUGAUGAGCCUUUAUUCUGACCUAAACAGAUUUAAAUUUAUUAACCUUUUUUUAUAACUAAAAUGUUACAUUCCUUUUAUUAAUUUAGUCCGCCUCUGCACUUUAUCUAGUGCCAUGAUAUCCUUCUUUAGAACAGGUACAAAAAAUUGCACAGCAUAUUCAAGAUGUGGUCUGAAAGAUGCAAAAUAAUAGUUUCAUCUCCAGAAUAAUUGCCCCUUUUUAUGCAAUUCCUUACUGGCCUAAGCAACUGCUGAUUGACACAGCACAUUGAUGCUUAGUUUGUGGUCUAUAAUUCCCCAAAUCCUCCUCAUGUUUUAUCCCCAAUUCACAACAGUUUAAGGUAGAAGUUGCUUGAGCAUUCUUUACCCUGAGUGUAUAACUUUACAUUUAUCUACAUUGAAUUUGAAUUUUUAGUGCCUUAGCCCCCCCCCCCAUCUAUAUAAAUCCCUCUGCAAAAAAGCAAUAUCCUGCUCACAUUGUAUUACUUUACAGAGUUUUGUGUCAUGUGCAAAAACUGAAACAUGACUUUCAAUAUCAUUUCUAAAUGUUAAAUAGAAGCAGUCCCAGAACAGAACACAGAGGAACACCACUUAUCACUAUUGUCCAGCUUACAAAAUUUACCAUUAAUGACAACUCUCUGUAAUCCAUCUUUAAACCAAUAUUCUACCCAAGAAUAAGAAUUUUUAUCUAGACUAAUUGUUUUUAGUUUGAACACUAAUCUG